UGGCAAAGAUCAAAAGUCAACGUCGGUCCC
rnacentral:piRNA from 1 species